AACGAACGCUGGCGGCAUGCCUAACACAUGCAAGUCGAACGAUACCUUCGGGUAUAGUGGCGCACGGGUGAGUAACGCGUGGGAAUCUACCCAUUGGUCUGGAAUAACGUUGGGAAACUGACGCUAAUACCGGAUAUUCCCUUCGGGGGAAAGAUUUAUUGCCAAUGGAUGAGCCCGCGUCAGAUUAGUUAGUUGGUGGGGUAACGGCCUACCAAGACUACGAUCUGUAGCUGGUCUGAGAGGACGACCAGCCACACUGGGACUGAGACACGGCCCAGACUCCUACGGGAGGCAGCAGUGGGGAAUAUUGGACAAUGGGGGCAACCCUGAUCCAGCAAUGCCGCGUGAAUGAUGAAGGCCUUAGGGUUGUAAAGUUCUUUCGCACACGACGAUGAUGACGGUAGUGUGAGAAGAAGCCCCGGCAAACUUCGUG
rnacentral:rRNA from 1 species